rnacentral:rRNA from 1 species
UCUUCGGACCUAGUGGCAGACAGGUGAGUAACGCGUGGGAACGUGCCCAUCGGUUCGGGAUAACCAAGGGAAACUUUGGCUAAUACCGGAUACGUGCGAGAGCAGAAAGAUUUAUCGCCGAUGGAUCGGCCCGCGUCUGAUUAGCUUGUUGGUGGGGUAACGGCUCACCAAGGCGACGAUCAGUAGCUGGUUUGAGAGGAUGAUCAGCCACACUGGGACUGAGACACGGCCCAGACUCCUACGGGAGGCAGCAGUGGGGAAUAUUGGACAAUGGGCGCAAGCCUGAUCCAGCCAUGCCGCAUGAGUGAUGAAGGCCUUAGGGUUGUAAAGCUCUUUUAUCCGGGACGAUAAUGACGGUACCGGAAGAAUAAGCCCCGGCUAACUUCGUGCCAGCAGCCGCGGUAAUACGAAGGGGGCUAGCGUUGCUCGGAAUCACUGGGCGUAAAGGGCGCGUAGGCGGACAUUUAAGUCGGGGGUGAAAGCCCGGGGCUCAAACCCC